UGGGAUGUGGUGUACAGUGCAUGGCUGCUUUCUAUACAGGUGUUGACAUGAUGCUAUGAAGCAGUAGGACAGGGUUCGAUUCCCUGUAUCCCAA